ensembl:lncRNA
UUUUAAUCAAUUUAAUGCAUUCUUGCUGAAAAAGAUUAAUAACAAUUUCCUUAAAAAAACAGACUACUGAUGUCAAAUAUUUGAAUGCACAGAUAUUUUGUUGUUUAAUCCCAAAAAAACAACAGCUUGUGAAUGGUAGUGUAUUUUCAACACAUUCUUAUAUAUUUCCAAACAAACGGUUUUGUAAUUUCAACGAAACCUCAUCUGUUAGGGUCCUGCAGACUUUGCGAAACAAAACAGUAUUGAAUAUGUCACAGAAAAGGCCCAUACUUACUGAAUGUUGCCCAAAAUAUAAUUGUGAUAUUUAUAUGAAUGCUGUUCACUUCCAGUUGAAUCUUUGCAUGAAGAGUGGGACAGUCUGGCUAAAGACAUCAGAAGAGAGACUCAGAAUUCACUUCCGACUGUUGAGAGGUCAGUCAGUUUUUCUGUGUUGAUUAUAUUCAUCAUUAGUCCCUCCAUCCUGAAGCACACUCCACUUUAUUACAUUGCUCGCUCUCUCUCUCUCUCUCUCUCUCUCUCUCUCUCUCUCUCUCUCUCUCUCUCUCUCUCUCUCUCUCUCUCUCUCUCUCUCUGUGUGUGCAGUGACCCUGUUGUUAACAUGACCGCUGCACGCAUUCAGGAGGACAUUAACAGGUAAUUCUCUGCUCUCGUCCACCAACCAAGACAUUACAGUGGACAUCUGAUUCAUUUUAUGACUGCAUGUGCCAUGUUAAUGGUCUUCAUGUACUCGUGUAGGUUACAGGCUGAGAGUAUGUCCUGGGAGUCACUACUGAACAAACAUCGGAGCAAAGCUGAGGAACUAGACAAAUGUGUGGAGCGGGGUGAAGAGAAGGGGCUGCCACUGGACCCAUCAUGCUUUGCAAAGUCCUCACAGAGUCGGCUCAUUCUGAACAAACCUGACUACAAGGCGGUGCUCAUGGGACAGCAAAAACUACUCCGAAACAUGGAGCUAGUGAUGGACUCACAGUGUUGUAUAAUGAGGGAGCUGCUGUCUUUCCGGGAGAAAUCACAGCUGCUGCUGAAGGAGACCAGUGCCAGACUAGCUGCCAGGGCUGGAUUUCACAAUCUCCCUUCAUCUCCAGUCAGACAGCUGAUAAAAGAACCCAUAUCUAGUGUUUCCUCUUAGUUUACAGUGCUGUAAUGAAUCCCAUCGGAUGCUGAGCUUCCAUAGAAAAGUGCUAUGAUCUGAAAGGACCAUUUCGGUUAUGCAUUAUUACUUUUUACUCUAUCAUUUCUACUUUUUGCAGUAUCAAAAUACAUUUUCUGUUUUAUAUUAACCAAUGAUUUGGAUAGGAAGUAUCUAAAUUUAUACUAAACGUCUGUCUGUCCUAUUUUUCGUAAGAGGAAAGGUUCAGAAUGUGUACAUAAAGCGCAAAGAUGGACACUAGAUGGCAGACUAGUUAUUCACAGCUCUGCUUAACCUGUGCGGUCCUGCAUAGGGUUUGUUUUUCACAAUUGUACAGAUUUCAGAUUGUAAUUAAAUGCCUUGACAUUUGCUUCAAACUUUUUGUCAUGUAAAAAACAUUUGUUUUUAGCCCCUAAAUGCUUUUAAACGGUCUUUAAAUUGUCUUGUAUGUGUAAUGGACUAAGAAUGAUUUUCAUUCAUCCAUCACUGGAUUUUUUUUUUUUUUUUUUUUUUUUUUUUUUUUUUUUUUUUUUUGUAAUUCUUUUUUUUUUUUUUUAUUUUAUUGGUUUUCUUCAUAAUUUUUUUUUUUUUUUUUUUUUUUUCUUAUUUUAUUUCCAGGAUUAAGCACUAAGCAAGGUCUAACAAAUUAACAAAUGUGCCAAAAACAAAACAAAACAAGUAACUAAUAUUAUAAAUACAUGAAAGGAAUGCUGGGUUCUAUUUUAUUUUUUAUUUUGUUAUUAAAAUAAUUUUUUUCUAUCUAUCUAUCUAUCUAUCUAUCUAUCUAUCUAUCUAUCUAUCUAUCUAUCUAUCUAUCUAUCUAUCUAUCUAUCUAUCUAUCUAUCUAUCUUUCUAUCUAUCUAGAGGUGGUGUAGCAGGAGAGUGGGGUUAAGCGUUAGAAGCACUGGGGGUGGCACAGCAAGAGGGAUCGAUUCUUAUUUAGAUGAAAAUGAGGCUCAGCGCUUGUGGGCCGAGGGUGCAUCUGCCUCAAACAGAUUUAAGAAGAAUACCUAUUCAUAGUCAAGAGAGGAAAAACUAGUCUCACGGUGGUAAAUACUUUUAAAUUAAAUGUCAAUUGACAAAGAUUAAUGUAUGCAUGUGAUUUAGUAGAUGCCCACGUAGAUACUCUCCCAAAAAUAAAGGUUCUUCAUUGGCAUCUGUGGUUCCGUGA